rnacentral:rRNA from 1 species
CACGUAGGGGGCAAGCGUUGUCCGGAUUUAUUGGGCGUAAAGAGCUCGUAGGCGGUUCGGUAAGUCGGGUGUGAAACCUCCAGGCUCAACCUGGAGAGGCCACCUGAUACUGCUGUGACUCGAGUCCGGUAGGGGAGCGGUGGAAUUCCGUGGUGUAGCGGUGAAAUCCGUAGAUAUCAUGAGGAACAUCAGUGGCGAAGGCGGCUCUCUGGUACAUUUCUGACGCUCAGACGCGAAAGCAUGGGGGAGCAAACAGG